rnacentral:rRNA from 1 species
UACGGAGGGGGCGAGCGUUAUUCGGAAUUAUUGGGCGUAAAGGGCGCGUAGGCGGCCCGGUAAGUCAAAGGUGAAAUCCCUCGGCUCAACUGAGGAACUGCCUUUGAAACUGUCGGGCUUGAGGCCGGGAGGGGGUAGCGGAAUUCCCAGUGUAGCGGUGAAAUGCGUAGAUAUUGGGAGGAACACCGGUGGCGAAGGCGGCUACCUGGGACGGUACUGACGCUGAGGAGCGAAAGCGUGGGGAGCGAACAGG